rnacentral:rRNA from 1 species
GAUGAACGCUAGCGGCAGGCCUAUACACAUGCAAGUCGAGGGGUAACGUGAGUGCUUGCACUUGACGACGACCGGCGCACGGGUGCGGAACGCGUAUGGAACCUACCUUUAUCAGGGGGAUAGCCCAUGGAAACGUGGAUUAAUACCCCAUAGUAUUAUUUCAUUGCAUGAUGAUAUAAUUAAAGAAUUUCGGAUAGAGAUGGCCAUGCGUAUCAUUAGCUAGUAGGCGAGGUAACGGCUCACCUAGGCGACGAUGAUUAGGGGUCCUGAGAGGGAGAUCCCCCACACUGGUACUGAGACACGGACCAGACUCCUACGGGAGGCAGCAGUGAGGAAUAUUGGGCAAUGGAGGCAACUCUGACCCAGCCAUGCCGCGUGCAGGAAGACGGCCCUAUGGGUUGUAAACUGCUUUUAUACAGGAAGAACACCACCCACGUGUGGGUGACUGACGGUACUGUAAGAAUAAGGACCGGCUAACUCCGUG